rfam:Brassica napus, WGS project CCCW01000000 data, contig: 23386
AUACCUUUCUCGGCCUUUUGGCUAAGAUCAAGUGUAGUAUCUGUUCUUAUCAGUUUAAUAUCUGAUAUGUGGUCCAUCGGGCCACACGAUAUUAACUCUAUUUUUUUAGGGUGAAAGCCCAUUAAGAUAGCUUGCUAUCUGGGUUUUUUGGAGUUGCCUUUGUCUUGCACUACUGCAUUGGCUGGCUCAACCCAC